rnacentral:rRNA from 1 species
CCUACGGGUGGCUGCAGUGGGGAAUAUUGCACAAUGGGCGCAAGCCUGAUGCAGCCAUGCCGCGUGUGUGAAGAAGGCCUUCGGGUUGUAAAGCACUUUCAGCGGGGAGGAAGGCGGUGAGGUUAAUAACCUCAUCGAUUGACGUUACCCGCAGAAGAAGCACCGGCUAACUCCGUGCCAGCAGCCGCGGUAAUACGGAGGGUGCAAGCGUUAAUCGGAAUUACUGGGCGUAAAGCGCACGCAGGCGGUCUGUCAAGUCGAAUGUGAAAUCCCCGGGCUCAACCUGGGAACUGCAUUCGAAACUGGCAGGCUAGAGUCUUGUAGAGGGGGGUAGAAUUCCAGGUGUAGCGGUGAAAUGCGUAGAGAUCUGGAGGAAUACCGGUGGCGAAGGCGGCCCCCUGGACAAAGACUGACGCUCAGGUGCGAAAGCGUGGGGAGCAAACAGGAUUAGAUACCCUAGUAGUC